GACGAACGCUGGCGGCGUGCUUAACACAUGCAAGUCGAACGGAAAGGCCCUGCUUUUGUGGGGUGCUCGAGUGGCGAACGGGUGAGUAACACGUGAGUAACCUGCCCUUGACUUUGGGAUAACUUCAGGAAACUGGGGCUAAUACCGGAUAGGAGCUCCUGCUGCAUGGUGGGGGUUGGAAAGUUUCGGCGGUUGGGGAUGGUCUCGCGGCUUAUCCGUUUGUUGGUGGGGUAGUGGCUUACCAAGGCUUUGACGGGUAGCCGGCCUGAGAGGGUGACCGGCCACUUGGGGACUGAGAUACGGCCCAGACUCCAACGGGAGGCAGCAGGGGGGAUUAUUGCACAAUGGGCGGAAGCCUGAGCCAGCAACGCCGCGUGCGGGAUAACGGCCUUCGGGUUUAAAACCGCUUUCGCCGGUAACGAAGCGUGUGUGACGGUAAUUGGUAAAGAAGCACCGGCUAACUACGUG
rnacentral:rRNA from 1 species